AUGCAAGUAUAUUUCUGUCGUGAACUUAGCUGUUUUAUGUCCCAAAAAUCUCACCACCAUCCCAGAUCUGAUUUUAUACUUGGAAUCUCAUACACCCACUGAAUAAAUGAAUCGCCUUGAAGUACUUUUCUUAUGGUCUAGAUCCAUGUUUCUUCAUCUCGUUUCCUUUCAAUGCUCCAGCUACUGCCACAAAAAAUAAAGCGCAAGCAUUAAUAAAGC
rnacentral:lncRNA from 1 species